rnacentral:rRNA from 1 species
AACGAACGCUGGCGGCAUGCCUAACACAUGCAAGUCGAACGAGACCUUCGGGUCUAGUGGCGCACGGGUGCGUAACGCGUGGGAACCUGCCCUUAGGUUCGGAAUAACUCCCCGAAAGGGGUGCUAAUACCGGUUAAUGUCUUCGGACCAAAGAUUUAUCGCCUUUGGAUGGGCCCGCGUUGGAUUAGCUAGUUGGUAGGGUAAAAGCCUACCAAGGCGACGAUCCAUAGCUGGUCUGAGAGGAUGAUCAGCCACACUGGGACUGAGACACGGCCCAGACUCCUACGGGAGGCAGCAGUGGGGAAUCUUGGACAGUGGGCGAAAGCCUGAUCCAGCAAUGCCGCGUGAGUGAUGAAGGCCUUAGGGUUGUAAAGCUCUUUUACCCGGGAUGAUAAUGACAGUACCGGGAGAAUAAGCUCCGGCUAACUCCGUG